AACUUUAUACAACUUUCAGCAACGGAUCUCUUGGCUCUCCCAUCGAUGAAGAACGCAGCGAAAUGCGAUAAGUAAUGUGAAUUGCAGAAUUCAGUGAAUCAUCGAAUCUUUGAACGCACCUUGCGCCCUUUGGUAUUCCGAAGGGCAUGCCUGUUUGAG
rnacentral:rRNA from 1 species